rnacentral:lncRNA from 1 species
GAGGAGGUCUCAAUAAUAUUUAUAAUAAUAUUAUAUUGUAAUGUAGUGUUUUAAAAAUAAUAUUUAUUUACGUCUCUUUGUGAAAACCACACAUAGGUCAAGGGGAAUUUCCUUUCAUGUCGCUGUAGAGCAGGGGACGCCAAUUACAGUAUAUGGCGAUCAACUGGUUGAUAUUUUAGAGGAAUAUUGAUCGAUCUCAUUAAAAAUUAAUUUUACCAAUAUCUGUUGUUCGCGUUCGUAAUCUUAUGAAUUUUAACGCUUAAAUAACACACAUUUAAGCUAUAUAUUUAUAUAUAUAUAUGUACAAAUUAAAGUAUAUAUUUUAUUAGCGAAUUAGACCGUACGAUUUUACGAUGGAGAAAUAACGAAUGAUGAACAUUAUCUUACAAUGUAUUAUUAUGCUGCUCUACGUUGAUCGACUUAUCAGUCAGGACACAUUCGAUUAUAUAUAAUAUAUAGAUAAAAGACAAUGCGUAAGGCUCAGAGCUCAUCGAGUCAAAAAAUAUUCGACAGAUCGAUUUUGACGAACCGAGGAAGGUUUAUAUAGAUCGAACCCAUUAUUUCAGUGUGGCUUACCAGUGAAUAAUGUAAUAUUUAAUUCACGUGUAUUGUUUUAUUUCUGUUCGCUAUCAUUAUUGGUUCACGCAUGUAAAAAAAAAGUUGCUAUAAUUAUAUUACUAUCCAACGCCGCAGGUGCAGGAUUAUUGCCCAUCUCGAUUCCAUAUUUUAUAUCCCGGUAAUACUGCAGCUAGUAACCACACUAUAAUAUGCUACCUAUAUGUGUACAUAUAUGUUAUAAUUUAUUUUAUGAGCGCGCCGGAGUUCGCGGACACUGUAUUUCUCAGCGAUACGAUACGUAUAAUAACUGUUUAAUAGUAUCAUUCAUAUUUUACACAACGUAUUAGUAUCUUGAUUAACAUCGUACGUUAUUGUGACCUGUGUUAUGGAUUAAUGCCCAUAAUAUAAUAUAUUAUACCAUAGAAACGAUGCUCGCUAUAAUUCGCUAUAAUUGAGUUUGCUAUAUAUACGUUCUAAUUCAAUCGUUUAUCAUGCAAACAAUUAACUAAUGGAAAAUGAUUUACCUACCGCGUAACAAUAAUAUCCUUUUGAGAUAGGUACUAAAAUGGUUAGGUAUUACGCAGUCGAUUCCAUUUAUAAAUAUUUUUUAUACGUAAACGGCGCUUGCCUAUGAACUAGGUAUAUUUUAUGAUGUUUCUAAUCCUCAAUAGAAAGUAAGUAAGUCGUCUUCAGCGGCAUAUAGCGUAACGUCUUAGUAAGAGUUCGUAUUUAUUACCCUCGGAAACAAUUGCGCUAAUAGCUUUUAAAAUACAUUAAAUUAAUAUUUGUGUAUAAAAUAAUAAACUGAAAAUAACACUUAAACUUCGACAAAAAAUGUGUUUUUUAUUAAAUAACACGGCGCGAUGUGUACCAAACUUUGACUAAUUAUUCUUAUACCUAGUUAUAUUGUCGAUUCAUCGGAAUCAUUUGUUUUCCUCAUCAUAACACAAUAUAUUAUUAUGAUAUUACUUUAUAAUAUUAAUCGUGAAGAAAAAAUAACACAACUUACACCAAGUACACAAAAUAACAGUUCUCAACAACCAACUGAAAACACAGAAUUAGAAAACACAAUUUAUUCGACUUUGAUGAUGUAUAGAACCACAUUGGCUCAACAAUCAGACUGUAUGCCUUAUAUGAUUGCAAGUAAUAAAUUGUUAAUCGAUGUGGCAAAAUUAAAACCUAAAAAUGUAUCUGAUUAAAAAAUGUUGAAGGGUUUACUGAAGCCAAAUUUGAUCGUUUCGGUCAAGCCAUAGUGGAUAAGGUGAUAGAAGUUUGUAAUAAAUAUCCUGUAGAAUCGAAGAAUGAGAGUGUGAACCAAUGCGAAACUAAUAACUCAAAUUCCUGUGUAUGUGAUAACUUUUGGGAUGAAUGUGAUGACUCGAUCUUCAGUGAAAUAUGUGAUACAGAUGAAAUAAAAAAAUGUGGUGUUGAUGGAGAUCUAGAAAUAAAUGAAGUUUAUAGUAGUUUAAUUCCAAAAAAUGAUAAUACCCCAACUAAAAGCAAAUAUUGCGAUACUGAAUCAAAUGGGAUGUGUCAAGAAACAAUAACAGAACGUAAUAAAACCAUGAUUAAAAAAUUAAAAAAUAACUCUCUGUUCAAAUUUUAAAAUGCAAUUGCAUAUAAGUCAUUAUUAUAAUAUAUUUUUCCAAAGACUAAUUAUUUUAUUUUCAUACCCAAAUUAUAAAUAAUUGUUUUCUCCGUAAGCUGUUUAUCCAAAAGGCAACAUUUAUAAUAUUUGAUCUAAGAUUUAAUAGUUAAUAUAAUAUGAUUUUACUCAAAAAGUGACAAGUCAUUCAAUGAUAAUUCGGAUUAAGCUCCUAUCUUUAUUUAUUACAUUACUAUGGUUUGUUUAAAUUAAAAUAAACCUGUUCAUAUUGUGAAUGUAUUAUGUCGCUAUUAUAGACUAGUAUUAUAGUAUUAUACUGUAAUCAGGAAAGAUCUUCUGAUAACAAGUUCAAGAAUUUUUUAUAACAAAUCAUGGUAACAACUAACAGUUAUCAGAAUUGUGUUGUGUAGGGUAUCUCAAUAACAGUGAAUAUUGUGACAAUGUUUCUUUAUAAUAAAA